rnacentral:rRNA from 1 species
UACGUAGGGCGCAAGCGUUGUCCGGAAUUAUUGGGCGUAAAGAGCUCGUAGGCGGUUUGUCGCGUCUGCUGUGAAAUCCUCAGGCUCAACUUGGGGCGUGCAGUGGGUACGGGCAGACUAGAGUGCGGUAGGGGAGACUGGAAUUCCUGGUGUAGCGGUGGAAUGCGCAGAUAUCAGGAGGAACACCGAUGGCGAAGGCAGGUCUCUGGGCCGGUACUGACGCUGAGGAGCGAAAGCGUGGGGAGCGAACAGG